UCGAGUCGGGCCCAGUGGCCUGAACCAUGAUCAGGCCUAUCCAGAACUAUCCACUGCGGUCAUAUACAUGUUACCACUGUCUGGAUUAUCUCCUUGAGGUUGUGUUGGUGGUGGCUUCGUUCCAUGUUUGGUCCCUGUUCUUGCUUUGAAACUUUCAGGGGAAACAACUUCAUUGUAUUCUCCGAUCAAAACCCAAAAUAUAUGUGCCAUCAUCAAGGACAAGUUAUUGCAGAACACAAAACUCCAAGUGCUGAACCCAAGGUUCAUCACCAUAUACUUAAUGUAAACCAUCCGCCCCCGGCCCGACCCGGCCCGGCCCAUAGACAUGUAUGGGCCGAAUUCAAUAUAAAAUUUAAGUUCCAGGAAUACCCUUACUCGUCUUCAGUUCGUCUCUAAUUUUUUCUCCACUUGCGUUUUUAUGCCUUUGGUUCUUUUGGGGUACAGUAUAAUCUUAAGCUUUGGUUCUAUGUAAUAGAAAAGAAAAAAGAAGAGAAAAUUUAUUCAAAGCUAUAUUCUUCGACUUUCCGACUAUAUCUCUUGGGAUUUCUCUUUAAGCUGGGAACUUUGAGGAGCUAUUGUAUUCGAAUGAAAGUUUUGAUUUUUUUUUAUUGUUGGUGUAAUUUAUAAUUAUCUGUGCUGGUUAAAUUCUUGUAAUUUUUUAUCUGUAAACUGAUUUUCCCAUGAUUAAUUUAUUAUUCUCUUUUGUUCCCAA